rnacentral:rRNA from 1 species
CGUGUAGGCGGCCUUCCAAGUCUGAUGUGAAAGCUCGGGGCUCAACUCCGAGUCUGCAUUGGAAACUGGUUGGCUUGAGUCCGGAAGAGGAGACUGGAAUUCCUGGUGUAGCGGUGAAAUGCGCAGAUAUCAGGAAGAACACCGGUGGCGAAGGCGGGUCUCUGGGACGGUACUGACGCUGAGACGCGAAAGCGUGGGAGCAAACA